AAAAACCAAGCUAAAUCUUCGAGACCUAUGAAUCCAAAUUCGUUUAUGGGUGGGUUUUUGAAUUUCUCUAUGCACUGAUUGUUCGCGAUUUAUCCAGCAGAAUGAAUAUACGUUUGUUCCUCUCUCACUUUCCAUCGUUUGAUCAUCCUUGUCUUCUUCUCGAAAUGGAAAAUCGGAACCGAAGCAAGUAAAACUCAGGGAACGCUCCAGACCGAUUCCUCCUGGAGGCAUCUAGCCUGCCAAAGAACAUUGCAGGUUCAAUCUAAGCUUCGUUGUUUGUGAAGAUUACGAUAUGAGUUUGGCGGGAAGAGGCGGUUCUUUGCAUUUUAUGGCUUUGAUUCUUGUUCUUUUUUGUUUGUUAAGGUUAUUGGGAAAGGUCCUUCACAGCCUGCUCCAAAAUUAAUUGGGACAUCAUAGCAUUUUGUCUGAACUUGAGCCGAUAAGCAUGAGCCUACAUAUGCUAAAAAGAUGGUGGAUUUGUACAACCAGAAUGGUGAAAUUGAUCGUAUGCUUUACAGAGAUAGAUGACAUUUGCACUUGUAUUACUGGCUCUUUUGAUUUUGGAGCCAUGAAAUAAUGUCACCCGGACUUCAAGAUUCUUGCUGUGAGCUUUGAUUCCACUACUUUUUUCUUGUUUCAUGCCCUGAAUCAUUCACCUUUUUCUAUGGGCUAUUUGGGCUGUUUAUUGAAUCCUUUCAACAUGAAGGGAUGGGCUUUUGAUGAAGAACUAGGAAAAUGUUAUGGGUAGUUACUACCCCAUGUGUUUUCUUCUCUAUGGUAGCUUGAUGUCUCUGUAAGAGGUUGCAUGGUUUUAUGAGAACAUUGGAAGCUCUAGUGGGAUUUUGACAAAGACUGC